rnacentral:misc_RNA from 2 species
GUGAUUAAAUCGAGCGUGUCUUCAUUGACCGCUCACCUUUCUCACCAUCCACAUACACCUGUGCACUGUUUAGCCUGAGCCGGUUUUCCGGUCCAGGUUAUCAUUUCAUACAAACUCUAGUCUUAUGAAUGUAAACGUUUUAAUAACAUAAUA